rnacentral:rRNA from 1 species
CACGUAGGGGGCAAGCGUUGUCCGGAUUUAUUGGGCGUAAAGAGCUCGUAGGCGGCUUGGUAAGUCGGGUGUGAAACCUCCAGGCUCAACCUGGAGACGCCACUCGAUACUGCUAUGGCUAGAGUCCGGUAGGGGAGCGUGGAAUUCCUGGUGUAGCGGUGAAAUGCGCAGAUAUCGGGAGGAACACCAGUGGCGAAGGCGACUUCCUGGCCUGUUCUUGACGCUGAGGCGCGAAAGCUAGGGUAGCAAACGGG